UCCGACGCGGCGCCGACACGGCGCGGACGCGGUUCCGACGAGUCCGACACGCCAGCAGUAAAAAAAAAAAAAAAAAAAGGAAAAAAGCACAGAUUUUGACAGAUGGACUUACCAUUACCGUUGAUCUGUGACAACCCUAAAACCAUAAAACAUUUUUAGAAUCUGAAAAUUGGAAGUUCAAACCACAAAACUCAAGUUCUUCACGUCUUCUCCGUUGCUGAAACCCACUUCGCUGCCGCUGCUCUGUUCUUCGCCGGAGUUAGCUCGUGCCGAUCGGCGAGCUCUGACGUCGACGGCGUUCCAUCCGUCCCUUCCGAUCUCCAUCUCUCUCGGCGCGGAACAGGUGAAUUAUUAAAAUGAAUCCUGAAAAAGAAAGUGAGAAUGAGAAAUCAUCUUCUGAGAAUGCUGCUCCUCUAUGGAAAUAUGUUACUAGAUUAGAAAAAGCAAGUGUUGGUGGUGGGAAUGUUUCUUUUAGAUGUAAUUAUUGUGAAAAAAA